rnacentral:rRNA from 1 species
AUGACUGCGUGUUAUUGGCAAGAUACCUACGUGGAUGAUAUCGACAAGCUCGAUGGCCACAAUGAACCAGAUGUUGUCGACUACAUGGAGGACAUCUAUAAGUACUACAAGGCAGCACUGGCUAUUCUUUUCCUCAGGUUCUUAUUGAUCUCUUCUUUGCAUGAGCUUCUGAACACACAUCUAAAGCUUCUAAGAAGCAAAUUCCAUACUCUAGCAGUGACUUGCUUUCCGGUGUUUUGGUGGGAGAAAAUUUUCAGAAGCCAAGUUGUGCUGGACAUAAAUAUACUACGCCAAGGAGCUAAAAAAGGCUAUGGUUUUAUGAGUUCUCAGGCUCUGGUCUGA